rnacentral:rRNA from 1 species
AUUGAACGCUGGCGGCAUGCUUUACACAUGCAAGUCGAACGGCAGCACGGGGGCAACCCUGGUGGCGAGUGGCGAACGGGUGAGUAAUAUAUCGGAACAUGUCCGGAAGUGGGGGAUAACGUAGCGAAAGUUACGCUAAUACCGCAUAUGCCCUGAGGGGGAAAGGGGGGAUCGCAAGACCUCUCGCUUUCGGAGUGGCCCGAUAUCCGGAUUAGCUAGUUGCUGAGGUAAAGGCUCACCAAGGCGACGAUCCGUAGCUGGGUCUGAGAGGACGACCAGCCACACUGGGACUGAGACACGGCCCAGACCACCUACGGGUGCAG